rnacentral:rRNA from 1 species
CUACGUGCCAGCAGCCGCGGUAAUACGGAGGGUGCGAGCGUUAAUCGGAAUAACUGGGCGUAAAGGGCACGCAGGCGGCUAUUUAAGUGAGGUGUGAAAUCCCCGGGCUUAACCUGGGAAUUGCAUUUCAGACUGGGUAGCUAGAGUACUUUAGGGAGGGGUAGAAUUCCACGUGUAGCGGUGAAAUGCGUAGAGAUGUGGAGGAAUACCGAAGGCGAAGGCAGCCCCUUGGGAAUGUACUGACGCUCAUGUGCGAAAGCGUGGGGAGCAAACAGGAUUAGAUACCCUGGUAGUCCACGCUGUAAACGCUGUCGAUUUGGGGAUUGGGCUUUAAGCUUGGUGCCCGUAGCUAACGUGAUAAAUCGACCGCCUGGGGAGUACGGCCGCAAGGUUAAAACUCAAAUGAAUUGACGGGGGCCCGCACAAGCGGUGGAGCAUGUGGUUUAAUUCGAUGCAACGCGAAGAACCUUACCUACUCUUGACAUCCAUGGAAUCUUGUAGAGAUACGGGAGUGC